UACGUAGGGGGCAAGCGUUGUCCGGAGUUACUGGGCGUAAAGCGUGCGCAGGCGGUUCCAUAAGACAGAUGUGAAAUCCCCGGGCUCAACCUGGGAACUGCAUUUGUGACUGUAGAGCUGGAGUGCGGCAGAGGGGGAUGGAAUUCCGCGUGUAGCAGUGGAAUGCGUAGAUAUGCGGAGGAACACCGAUGGCGAAGGCAAUCCCCUGGGCCUGCACUGACGCUCAUGCACGAAAGCGUGGGGAGCAAACAGG
rnacentral:rRNA from 1 species